ensembl:lncRNA
GUAGAGACAGGGUUUCACUGUGGUCUCGAUCUCCUGACCUUGUGAUCCGCCCGCCUCGGCCUCCCAAAGUGCUGGGAUUACAGGCUUGAGCCACCGCGCCCAGCCAGUAAAUGCUUUUUAAAUCAAAUUUAAACACACAUUCACGUCUUUCUCAAUAAGGUGAUUCAUGAGUCAACAAGGUUGACUCUUAACAAAAGGAGUAAAGCUCUAAACUCCCCAAGAUUUAAAAACAAAAACAAACAAAAACCAGCCAUUUGUUGUUGUUGUUGUUUUUUUAAUAGCUUUCGGAUCAGAUGAUUUAGUGAGCACUUUUCACCACUGAUGCAUUAUGUGUGCAGGGGCCCAUGAAGCUUGAUGUCCAAAUUGAACAAACGGCCUUGGCUGCCCUGAACACUGUGGGAAGGAAACACCGCCGUUUGCCUUGCAGAUGCACCAUACAUGCUGCCGUUUGGAAAAGGCCACCUAGACUAAUGCCUUCUGGUGAGUUCACAUUGCCCACAAUCUGAUGUCCCAGCCUGUGAAUCCAGAACAGCCACUGUCAGCCCGCUCAGGCCUGUCCAGGAAUCAGCAAAGCCUUUGUCUGGGGCAAAGCUGCCUCCGCUUUCUUCGUGGCCAUUGCAUGGAAGGGGGUAACUGAUGGACUCCAGCGCUUGUCCUCGUCAGGCCCCGGCCGAGGGAGCUCAAUGCACUGAGAGGACCAAAGCCUGGCACCACCAUCUGCAGGCUCAGGCCAGCUGGAUCUGGGUCCCUGGGAGAGGCAGAAUAGUCUCCCCUCCUCUGUGCCUCAUAACCUUGAGCGCACACGUGUCUCCAAGCAUUUACCACUUGUAUCGAUAGUUCCUGUCAUGUCUAUUUCCAGGAGACAGAGCUGGUGCCAUUUCCUUGAGGGUAGAGAUCAUCUGGUAGUCACCUUCACAGUCCCAAAGCCUGGGGCCAUGACACACACGAAUAACAAUGAUGAAGACAGGAGGAGCAAGACAAAGAUGGUAAAAAGGUAGGCGUGGUCCACCUCCCACGUACCUCACCCUUUAUGGAAUAAAUAACACGUAAACAAAUUCACUGAUCAGACACAGGACUUGUUGUAUGCAGCCCUCUGCUUCCAGCCUCCUUUCAGCCUCUUCCCAGCUGCACAAACCUUUCACCUUCUCGAAUGAUCUAACCAAAGCACUGUGCUCCACGUUCACCACUUCCCAUUUAGGAAAAAAUAAGAUAAAGGGCUGACCAGUUAACAAAUUCUACCAUACACAUCUGAAAUGCUUUCAGAGCAGCUGGCUAUAUUUGGAAGGUCAGGGACACUGACAGGGACACUGAUGUCAAAUAGUUCCAACUUCCCUUCCUCCACUUCCCAGCUUUUAUGAGGCCCCCUUUCCUGGUGUUAUUCCUAAAAAGCAGGAUCCCAGUGCAAAUGAGAUCACAGUCGAGGACACGCAGCAGAUGCUUGUAACAACAGAAGCAGUCACUCUUCACCCCACUUCACAGUUUUGGGGAUGUGGAAUCCAUCUUUUUUUUACCAAAGGACGCCCAUGGUGCAGAUCUGAAUGCAACGGUCUUCCUUACCUUUCAUGAUAGCAACUUAAGGAAUAGCACAUAAGAAUUUUCUUAAUUCAUACAAAGUUUAUAAUCAUAUAGAAUUACUACUGUUAUUAUACACACACACACACACACAGAGUCCUCUCCCAAUCUUUUUUUUUUUUUUUUUUUUGAGACGGAGUCUUGCUCUGCCGCCCAGGCUGGAGUGCAGUGGCCGGAUCUCAGCUCACUGCAAGCUCCGCCCCCCGGGUUUACGCCAUUCUCCUGCCUCAGCCUCCCGAGUAGCUGGGACUACAGGCGCCCGCCACCUCGCCCGGCUAGUUUUUUGUAUAUUUUAGUAGAGACGGGGUUUCACCAUGUUAGCCAGGAUGGUCUCGAUCUCCUGACCUCGUGAUCCACCCGUCUCGGCCUCCCAAAGUGCUGGGAUUACAGGCUUGAGCCACCGCUCCCGGCCCCUCUCCCAAUCUUAAGACAAAAGGGUUUCUUAGAAACUAGUGUGGAUCUAAUGCAAUGCAAGUAAUAUUUGUGGCAUUUGUAUGCUGAACUGGAGGGAUAUCCUCCAGGCAUUUGCCCUUUAAGAACAAGGAUGGAGUGACCAGAAGAGAGAGGAAGAGGCAAUUAGGCCCUUUGGAGAAAACCAGCACUAAUGCUUCUGGCUGGGAGAUCCUUAAGCUUAGUACCACUUUUCUUUUAUGCUAAUGUUUACAGACGGCUUCUCAAUUAUGAGAACCCAGUGUGAUCAACACUCAAUCCCACCCAACUUCAACUAUGCUGAAGAGGCACUAUGACUCGGGACACUCCAUUUCUGAGUAUGCGGAGUGAUAUUCACUGUGAAGGUGGUUGUUGGAAACCAUUUACACAGCAACCCAAUGUGUUCCUAUUUCCUCACUUUCCCCACUUCCCAUUCUCUUCUCUUUUCUCUUUCUCUGUUUCACAUACCUUUCAAAGGCCUUCCCAUGCUGCUACAUGCACACAGGAAUACUGUUCUUAUCUGCAGUAGGCUGAAUAAUGACCCUUAAAGAUAUCAAGUCCUGAUCUCUGAAACCUCCAAUGUUACCUUAUAUGAUAAAAGGGUCUUGCAGAUGCUAAUUAAAUUAAAAUAUCUUGAGAUGGGGAGAUCAUCCUGGAUUCUCCAGGUAGGCCCUAAAUGCCUUCCCAAGUGUCCCUUUAUGAAAGAGGCAGAGAAGGUCAGGUGUGGUAGUGCACACCUGUAGACCUAGCUACAAGGGAGGCUGAGGCUGGAGGAUCACUUAAGCACAGAAGUUCAAGGUUACAUGAGCUAAGAGUGCACCACUAUACUCCAGCCUAGGCAACAGACCAAGACUAGGUGUCUAAAACAAAAACAAAAACAAAACAAAAGAAAGAAACAGGUAGAGGGAGAUUUAACAAACAGAAAAGAGGCCACGUGAACACAAAGGCAGAGAUCAGAGUGAUGCAGCCACAAGCCCAGGAAUGCUGGCAGCCACCAGAGACGGAAAGCAAGGCACUUUCUCUAUAUCCUCCAGAGGAAAUGUGGCCUUGCUCACACCUGGAUUUCCAUCCCAUAAGACAAAUUUCGGACUUCUGACCUCCAGAACUGUAAAAUAAUAAGUUUUUAUUGUUUUAACCCACCAAGUUUAUAGAAAGUUAUUACAGCAGCCACAGGAAACUAAUGAAUUUUUUAAAGAGAUACCACCCAACCCAUAGAUUGGGCAAAUUUGGACAGCCAGGUAUCCAUUCCAAUGAAGUGAUGGUUAAGAGAAUCGCAGCUGAUUAAAACUUCCCACUUCCAAAUAUGCAGAAGCAGAUACAUUAAACCCCAUAUAGACUUCCCUCCCCCAAAUUACGAAAGGGCUGUUUGUGUUUGUUAUAAGAAAUGCAAACCAACUGAGUCAUACCAUUAACCCUGGAGAAUCAGCUACCACUGUCACAGUUUCAGAGAGAAAACUCUAGCUAUCGGGAACAGAUGGCCCAGGACACAGCCCUAGCAACAGACCCAAAGCUCCAGGCAUACACAAGUUAACAGACAUGGACUCUGUGCCAAGGGGUGUACAAACUAGUGGAGAAACCAGCCUUUGAGCAGAUGGGAAUAGGUGAAAUAGAUGGUACAGUGGAGUCACUGAAGCACAGAGGGAGGCAGCCUCGGUCUGACACUUGAAAUUGGAUUUGCCUGCAAAUCGAAUAGGAAAAGGCCAUCCUAGGAAGUGCCUGUGCCAGGCUACAUGGCUAGAGUGGUUGGCAAAGGCAAGGCAAGCAGAAAACAAAGCCACCUUGGCAGCACUGAACAGGCCAUGCCCAGCACUGAGGCCGUAGGCAUCUGCAAGCCACAUGGGAGGAUGGGUGGGUAUACAGCACCAGAGCAAGUUAACCCGAUCAGCAUUUGGAAAGAUGAGUUUGACUGAAAAUGGACUAGACUGGGAAGAGAAGGAAGCAAAACUGAGGCAGGAACUUGGUUGCAAUGGCUACAGAUUGGACAGAGAUGCUCCAGGCCAGAAACAGCUGAAGUAAGGCUGGUAAGGACAGGUUUAAGUGGCAUUUAAGAGGCAGAUUGAUAGGACUUAGUGACAGUUGAAUGCAGAUAUUGAGAAAUAACCAUCAAGUUUCUGGCUUGGGUAGCAAGGCAGACAGCAGCAUCUUUAACUAAGUAGGACACGGUCAAGGAUGGAAAAAAUGAUUCAAAGGCAGAUAGAAUGUCAAUAGGAAGUCCAACUGUGAGCUUGCUGUGUGCACAGCUGUGGGUUGUCUGCAGGGUGUCUAAUGAGGUGGCUGCAUAAACAAUGUGCAUUUUGUAUAAAAGAACAUAUGUGUCUAUGGUGUGAGAGAUCCUGUUUGGGGUGCUUCAGUGUAUGGAUAACACCAAUAAAAAUGUGUGGAGCUCCUCCUAUAGUCCAGGCAAAAGGAAAGAAGUAGAGGGAGAUUUGACAGACAGAAGGUGGCCAUGUGAACACAGAGGAAGAGAUUGGAGUGAUACAGCCACAAGCUCAGAAAUGCUGGCAACCACCAGAAGCUGAAAGCGGCAAGGAAUUUAGACCGAAAGCCAGGCAUUGGGCAGGCAUAGGCAAACAAGAAACCUGUUGGGGGGAUGAGAGGGUCCUGGCUGGCAAAUCCAGUAUCACCUACACGAGUGGUGUCA